rnacentral:tRNA from 1 species
GGAGGCCGCGUAGCUCAACUGAAUAGAGCAUUUGACUACGGAUCAAAAGGUUACAGGUUUGAAUCCUGUGCGAGUCACCUUCA